GACGAACGCUGGCGGCGUGCCUAAUACAUGCAAGUAGAACGCUGAAGAGAGGAGCUUGCUCUUCUUGGAUGAGUUGCGAACGGGUGAGUAACGCGUAGGUAACCUGCCUUGUAGCGGGGGAUAACUAUUGGAAACGAUAGCUAAUACCGCAUAACAAUGGAUGACACAUGUCAUUUAUUUGAAAGGGGCAAUUGCUCCACUACAAGAUGGACCUGCGUUGUAUUAGCUAGUAGGUGAGGUAAUGGCUCACCUAGGCGACGAUACAUAGCCGACCUGAGAGGGUGAUCGGCCACACUGGGACUGAGACACGGCCCAGACUCCUACGGGAGGCAGCAGUAGGGAAUCUUCGGCAAUGGGGGCAACCCUGACCGAGCAACGCCGCGUGAGUGAAGAAGGUUUUCGGAUCGUAAAGCCCUGUUGUAAGUCAAGAACGGGUGUGAGAGUGGAAAGUUCACACUGUGACGGUAGCUUACCAGAAAGGGACGGCUAACUACGUGCCAGCAGCCGCGGUAAUACGUAGGUCCCGAGCGUUGUCCGGAUUUAUUGGGCGUAAAGCGAGCGCAGGCGGUUUGAUAAGUCUGAAGUUAAAGGCUGUGGCUCAACCAUAGUUCGCUUUGGAAACUGUCAAACUUGAGUGCAGAAGGGGAGAGUGGAAUUCCAUGUGUAGCGGUGAAAUGCGUAGAUAUAUGGAGGAACACCGGUGGCGAAAGCGGCUCUCUGGUCUGUAACUGACGCUGAGGCUCGAAAGCGUGGGGAGCGAACAGGAUUAGAUACCCUGGUAGUCCACGCCGUAAACGAUGAGUGCUAGGUGUUGGAUCCUUUCCGGGAUUCAGUGCCGCAGCUAACGCAUUAAGCACUCCGCCUGGGGAGUACGACCGCAAGGUUGAAACUCAAAGGAAUUGACGGGGGCCCGCACAAGCGGUGGAGCAUGUGGUUUAAUUCGAAGCAACGCGAAGAACCUUACCAGGUCUUGACAUCCCGAUGCUAUUUCUAGAGAUAGAAAGUUACUUCGGUACAUCGGUGACAGGUGGUGCAUGGUUGUCGUCAGCUCGUGUCGUGAGAUGUUGGGUUAAGUCCCGCAACGAGCGCAACCCCUAUUGUUAGUUGCCAUCAUUCAGUUGGGCACUCUAGCGAGACUGCCGGUAAUAAACCGGAGGAAGGUGGGGAUGACGUCAAAUCAUCAUGCCCCUUAUGACCUGGGCUACACACGUGCUACAAUGGUUGGUACAACGAGUUGCGAGUCGGUGACGGCGAACUAAUCUCUUAAAGCCAAUCUCAGUUCGGAUUGUAGGCUGCAACUCGCCUACAUGAAGUCGGAAUCGCUAGUAAUCGCGGAUCAGCACGCCGCGGUGAAUACGUUCCCGGGCCU
rnacentral:rRNA from 1 species